GAUUCUGCAUAUAAGGGAUAUCAUAUGAUAUUUCUUGUUCUCUGACUUCACUCAGCAUGACAGUCUGUGGUCCAUCCAUGGACAUGUUGCUGCAAAUGUCAUUAUUGCAUUUGAGUAAUAUUCCAUUGUAUAUAUGUACCGCAUCUUUUCCCACUCCUCUGUCAAUGGACACUUAGGUUGCUACUGUGUCUUGGCUGCCGAUGUGUUUUACAUUGAUGUAAAAAAACCUUUAAGGUAAUGUGUGUGUGUGUGUGUGUGUGUGUGUUUAAGCUGCUUGGCAUGCUGGAUCUUAGUUCCACAACCAGGGAUCAAACCCAUUGCCCUCUGCAGUGGAAGCAUGGAGUCUUCACCACUGGACUGCCAGGGAAGUGCCUGGUGUCGUUUUUAUGAUUUCUGAACCAGUUCUUUCUGUUACCUAACCAAGUGCAGACUAUAGUGUAUUCAUGGGAGAGGAUUUCUCAAUCAGGGCUUAUGAUACAAACCCAGAGUGGGCUAGGUGAUGGGUUGGGGGCUGUGCUGGUUCCGGCAGAAAUGGAUUCUCCUGGGGAGGUGUUGCAGCUGCAGCAGAGGCGAAGUCGCAGAGGUGCUUCAGUGAGGAGCUCAGGAGAGCUCUCGUGCUGAGUUCAUGCUGCUUGCGGGCGGGGUGGUGCUGGGAAGCUUGGGGAGAAGUAGGCUGAAGCCGUGGGGCUUAGAAGUGGCAGCUGUGUAGUUAGGUUCUAUAGCUAAACGUCACAAGCUUGUUUUUGGUUCUUGCCCAAAACAAAUGGCAGGCCACUGGCAAGCCUGAUCCCUUCUUAGGAAGCUGGUCCCUUAGCCGCUCCAGCAGACAGAAGCCAAUGUGAGGGGCCUGUGUGGAGAUCUUUCACCCAAGAUGCUCCCCUGCUCUGCCCCUCCCAGCAGUUGUCCUCCAUCAGUUUUGUGUGAUGAGGUCAUGCACUGUAUUCCGACCAAAAUGAGUAAUUUUUAUCUCAACUCUUAUAGUAAUAGCUACCAAUGGUUCAGGCCUUGUCUUUCUUAAUCCUCACAGCAGUCCUACAAGGUGGCAGCUGCCUCCUUUUUAAAGGAGGACACUGAACUUAGUAACUCAUCUGGGGCACACAGCUAGCACGUGGUGAAGCUGGCAUUCAGACCCAGGCUCGCACGCCACCAGGGUUAUGGAGGAUUGUGCGGGUCUGCCUUUCUACCCAUAAUCCCUGUCGAAAGAGUAAACUGACUCCUCCCCCUAAAGAGGGGCUGGGAAUUGAAAGUGGGAGGGUACUUUUGCUUUUCUAUUUUCUCCCUUUUAAACAGCCUGCAAAGGAAAGCUCAAUUGAACACUGGGGGACUUGAUUUUUUUUUUUUUUUAAUAGUUUGUAUUAGAGCUGAGGUUUUUUGUUUAUUUGGCAGCGGUGGAUCUCAGCUGUAGCACACUAAAUCUUCGAUCCUUUAGGUGCAUCAUGCGGGAUCUAGUUCUCUGAUCAAAGGUGGAACCCAGGCCUCCUGCAUUGGGAGCAUGGAGUCUUAGCUACUGGAUCACCAGGGAAAUCCCGUAGGGGGAUCUUCUUCAGCAAAAAUUUUAAACCCUUACAACAUGAUUUUAAUUACACAGAUAAUACAUGCUCAUAGCCCCACUAGAGGGAAAGCAGAGAAGAGCAAAAAGGGAAAAAAGUAAAAUUAAAGUCACCCAUUAUACCUGAAACUAACACAACAUUGUAAAUAAACUAUAACCCAAUACAUUUUUUAAAGAUCAAGAGUGAAUGAAAGUAGGAUUAAAAAUAAAGUCACCCAUAAUCCCACUCACUAAUCAGGGAUCAUCAUUUUUAAUACUUUUGUGAUAUUCUUCCAUAAACAAAAUGGAAUCAUGCUGUUAACAUUAUUUUGUAGUUUGCGUUUUUCCUCAUGUAAUAGAUACCUUCCUGUGUUAGUAACAGUAGAUAUUCUCAUUAUCUUAUUGGCUGCAAGAUAGCAAUAAUGAUUAGGUAUCUGAUAGUGAAUCAUGCUCCCAUCUCAUUCAGAACCUGUUUUCUCACCUGUAAAAGGGACACUUUAAAGGAUUGUUUACUAAAUUAAAUAAGGUAAUGUUUAUAAAGCACAAUGUCUGACAGUAAAUGCUCAACCUAAUACAAGCUGUAAUAAUUCACUCAUUUAAGAAAUAAUAGUUUCUUGGAAUUUCCUGGCAGACCAGUGGUUAAGACUCCACACUUUAACUGCUGAAGGCUUGGGUUUGAUCCCUUGUCAGGGAACUACAAU
rnacentral:lncRNA from 1 species